CCUACGGGCGGCAGCAGUGGGGGAUCUUGCACAAUGGGGGAAACCCUGAUGCAGCGACGCCGCGUGUGGGACGACGGUCCUCUGGAUUGUAAACCACUGUCCCCAGGGCCGAAGAUGACGGUACCUGGGGAGGAAGCUCCGGCUAACUACGUGCCAGCAGCCGCGGUAAUACGUAGGGAGCGCGCGUUGUCCAGAAUUACUUGGUGUAAAGGGUGCGUAGGCGGGACUGCAAGUUGGGUGUCAAAUCUACCGUGGCAACCGUUAGCCGCACUCAAAACUGCAGUUCUUGAGUGAAGUAGCGGCAGGCGGAAGUCCUAGUGUAGCGGUGAAAUGCGUAGAUAUUAGGAGGAAAACCAGUGGCGAAGGCGGCCUGCUGGGAUUUUACUGACGCUGAGGCUCGAAAGUGUGGGGAGCAAACAGGAUUAGAUACCCGGGUAGUC
rnacentral:rRNA from 1 species